UGUUCUGUGGCGUAGCUUUUUAACGCGCCUUGUCUAACGAAUUGAGGUGUCGUGGGUUCAAAUCCCACAAGAACAA
rnacentral:tRNA from 1 species